UACGGAGGGAGCUAGCGUUGUUCGGAAUUACUGGGCGUAAAGCGCACGUAGGCGGCUUUGUAAGUUAGGGGUGAAAGCCCGGAGCUCAACUCCGGAAUUGCCUUUAAGACUGCAUCGCUUGAAUCCGGGAGAGGUGAGUGGAAUUCCGAGUGUAGAGGUGAAAUUCGUAGAUUAUUCAGAAGAACACCAGUGGCGAAGGCGGCUCACUGGACCGGUAUUGACGCUGAGGUGCGGAAAGCGUGGGGAGCAAACAGG
rnacentral:rRNA from 1 species